UAGCUUGCUAGGCUACAUUACAUUUUGUUGCCUGCUUGCGAGCCAUAUCGUAUUAAAAGUAGGUGAACUGAGCUCAAGCAAACCUUGAAUGAACGGCCUCUCUCGAGCACCGCCAACGACUAGGGUUGAGACAGAUAAACCGAUUUGACCGGAUAUCCGUUCGUGAAGACACAACAGUAUCGGUAGCAGACUUCUCAAUCGAUACAAAAUCCGCUGGGGAGCCUUAGACCAAUCGAAUGUCGAGCUGUGGAUCGGUUGCCUGAGGUUAGUGUUUUCCACAUAAAAACAAUGCGAGAGCACACAUAACGACGCUCGCGGAUGCUCCUUGACAACAUAGAGUAGCACCGCAGCAACUUGUUUUGAAAGGACAAUGAACGAAUUGAUGUAAAAAUUGGCACGAGCGCUGGUGAAACUACUGAUUCACAGAGAACGGUUUUCAACGCACUAUGGGAAAAAGUCUGGACCGUUUUUGGAUUUUCUAACAAAAACGGACAACUCGAUAAAAGCCAUGCUAUCUGCAAGCUAUGCAGAGCAGCUCCGAAGUACUACGGGUCAACAACUAAUCUUGACGUUGAUGCCACAAGAAAACACGGUGACGGGUAUGGUGAGUUAAAGUCGAGCACCCAACAGGAGCAUGCUAGCAGUGCUAGCACACCAGGAAAAACUGCUAGCGUUAUUCCCACCUAUUUCUGAAAACUUGGCCACAAUUCAGCACGAGCGAAGGAAAUCACGGCUGCAAUAACCCAUUUCAUUUCCAAGGGCUUAUGUCCGUACAAUGUAGUUGAGUAGGAUGGUUUUCGGCACCUGCUGCAUAUCUUAGAGCCAAGAUAUGCAUUACCAUCCCGAAAGCAUAUCACUAACACUUGAAUGCCGGUGUUGUAUGGUCAAGUGAGGAGCCACGUUGAAGAAGAGCUUCCAAAAGCAGAGCGAGCUGCAAUAACAACUGAUACUUGUACGUUAUGUGCAACGGAGUCAUAUGUGACCAUCACAGCCCACCAUAUUACUUAAAAUUGGCAGCUAAAGUGUCAUGUUUUACAGAUUUACAGACAAAGGUGUUUAAAGGGUCACACUCCGGGAAGAAUAGAGGUACUCUACUGAAACAGGAAUGCAUAGCCCUCACCUCAUGUGCUUUGCACACACCAUUAAUCUUGCCACACAGAAAGCCUUCAGAGUGAACAUGGUAGCAAGGUUGCUGGAGAGUGGUUGUUUUUUUUCCACCAGUGCUAAGGCAGCAGAUAUUUUACAGGAGAAAUAAAAACUACUGGCCUUUCCUUCACACAAGCUCAUUCAAGAUUUCGACAACCUGUUUGAACAGUGCCUAUGACAUGCUUGAACUGCUUUUUGGAGCAACAACUUGCUAUAUCUGCUGCACUCCUGUCCAGGGAUCUCAGAAAUGGAGGAGAUGUGAACACUCUAAAGGACAAAAAUCUUUGCAAUUGUGAAGACAUUGUCAAGCUGAUGGCAACGGUCAAACUUGUGACCAUGUCUGAAGACAAGCAGCCCACAGUUUGAAUGAUUUCCACAGUCAAAGCAAAGCUUAAAAAUAACUUUUUAGCAUCAGAUAAAGACACAGUGGUAAUCGGAGAGAUGAAGCAGGCAUUCACAAAUGACUUGGAGAAACGCUACGCAGGCCUCUAUGAUCUCUUUUACACUGCAGCAGCUCUGGACCCCCGGUUUAAGGCUCUGUCUGCACUUCCUGAGUGACAAUGAUGCUGAGAGGAUAUUCACAAGCAUCUCAGCAGAAGCUACAUCCUUGACGAAAUGCCAACAGGCCAUCCAACUGAGAAGGGUCCAGUGCAGACAGAUCCAUGUCAGAUUCACCCUGCCCAUGAAGACGCAGACCUCACCACUGAUAGACCCCUGACCCAUGAUAUUCCAACCUAAUAACCCUCCUUGCAAAAAGAAGAAAAUAUCAGCUCUGGACCAGCGGUUUGGAGAAGACUUUGAAGUAAGGAGGACAGCAGCUAGAG